UGAAGCUCUUGCCUGCGGGAGCCCAGUUUCUUCAGGAGCCACCCGGAGCAAGAGGGAGCACUGGCUACAUUCAGAAGCAUGGGAGGAUGAGAGAAUUCACCAGAGACAGAGCAGGGAACAGAACAGGCAGACUGACGAAGUACGCUGCUGAGGGGAGCUGCGGUCGGAAGGAGAGGAGGCGCAAUACGGAGGCAGAGUGAAGACACUGGGCUCAGCGCCGCCAUAAACUCACAACAAUGUGCAGGACAACAUCGAUGCCCCUGAAAGAGAAAUGGGUGACCAGGGCACACACCAGGAGCAGGGACCAAUGGCAAGAAACCGGGAAAACGUUAACUGACCUGCAUCUACAGUUAUACUGGAGCAGAAUUAAACCCCCUACAGAUGUGGACUCGGGGACACAAGCCACAUUGGGGACUUUGGAGAUUCAGCACUUCCCUCAGCGCUGGGCUCAACCCGCUGGGCCCUCCGGGAGGCCCUAUUUUUGAAGACAACAUACCAAUUCUCUACAGCUGCGUAGAAAGAGCGUCCAGAUGCCUCCACACCCCAGGGCUCGCAGGAAGAACAGGUCACCUGGAGGUGCCCCUGCAGUGGGAACCAGUGUGUCCACGGCGGCCGCCUCCUCGUGCCCUCUGGGACCUGCGUGGGAAGAGCAGAGCCAGUGAAGCCCAAGCACGGAGGAGGCUCUUUCCUUAGUGACACCCCCCGGGAAGUGCUGCAUGGACUCAGAUGCGACAAAGUACAGAUGGAAACCAGGAGGCCCUAUCGAGGCACCACUCACUGGCGGGUAAGCAAUUCUCAAAGUUGGAAUCUCCGUUGUGAAAAGGGGCUCAGUAGAGGGGGACUUCCUACCGUGUAUGUCAGUCCCUGACAGCGCCAGUCAGACCGAAGAGCUCCUGCAUCGUCUGCGCCGUCCGGGUGCCCAGGGGCCACCAGCAGGGCCCACACGGGAUAGAGCCUAAGAUGGGGAAGCAAGGCCCUGGGGUCCCAGCCUAUGCCCCGGGGCCUCUGGGGGCUCAGCCCACACAGCUCCACUCCCAUCCUGGGCCCUGCACCUGCUCAGCUGCCCUAAGCCCUCCUCUCCCCCCUUCCUCUGCUCUGUUCCCCUCAGGUGCUUCACCAGACCCAUUGCCCUCCCUGCCCUUCACCUGCUCUGCUCCUGGGACUGCUGUGCUUGCGGACAUCUGUGCUCCACACCUAUGUUCUCAUGCUGCUUCUGGCCCCUCUGGCUGGGCCCAGCCCCUGAGCCCUCUCCAGGGCUCGGCCUCCGCUGGUGUGCUCCUUUCACUAUGGCCACUGAGUGGCUGCCCUGGAGCGGGGAAGUGAAUUCUAGGGAGGUGCUGGUGACCAUCUAAUCCCCAGCAGGGUGAACUCUGCUCUUGUGUUUUCUUCCGAAGGGUGGACAGAAAAUGCAACAUUUUAAAAUCCUAUUAAGGAUUCAACGAGCUCUGGCCUUGUAGCCUCCGCUGGACUGAAGGGUGGAUUGGGAAUGGUGUUAAUAGCCCAGUGUCUCUGCAGGGAGUGGGCUGAACAUGGGCUCCUCCUUGGGGUUAUUCGGGUGGUGCUGGAGAGCUGGGGGGGCUGGGCUGGAGGUCUUCCUAAUGCUUUCCUGGCCUCCCCCUCCAGCUGGGGGCCUAGCAAGGUGGUGCUGGGCUGCAGGGCUUCCUCCUGUAGGGGGCCUGGCAGUGAUGUGGUGUUGAGCCCCCAGGCCUCCCGCAGCACAGGCCCUGACCUGGAGGCCAUGCUGGGCCUCCAGGCGUCCGGCAGCAGGGGCCCUGAGCCGGAGACAGAACUCUGCAGGCUGGCAUCCUUCUGCGGGAUGCCUAGCCCGGAGGUGGUGUUGGGCUUCUGGGUGUCCUGCUUCGGGGACAGUCCCACCUGCAAGAUUUCCCGUCCCGAGAACUCAGGCUGCCGGUGGUCCUCUGGUAUCGGGGUGCAGUGGGCCCCAUUGGGACUGAGGAGCUUGGGGAAGAUGGUGGGGUCCGGCCCCUCCUCGCCCACCCACUGCCUGGAAAGCAGCAUGAGGUAGGACCCCAUCACAGGGUCAUACCUGCCCUCCAAAAGCGCCCUGUCGAUGACCUAUUUCCGGAACCCCAGGCAGACCAUGGCUUCCAUCGCGGCCUUUUGCUGGCCUGGGACAGCUUGCAGCAGGGCGGGAGUCCAUUGGGCAGCCCCACCCAGGGGUGCUGGAUGAUGCUGUCCAGGGUGCUGCGGCUCUGGGGGUCGAGCGUUAUCAUCUUCCUUAGCAGGUCACGGCACUGCUGGGAGAGGUAGUGCGGCUCGUUGUAGACACCGCUCAGCACCCUGGCCCGCAGCUCCCCGAGGCUGUUGCCCUUGAAGGGCAGCUCCGUGUCCAUGUCGUAGAGGACCACCCCCAGGCUCCUGAUGUAUGCCGCGGGGCCACUGUACUCCUGGUGACGGAGGAUCUUGUGCGCCACAAACUGCGGGCUGCCGCAGGGGGUCUUGAGCAGCGCUGUCCCAGAGAACUGGGCACUGAGCCCGAAGUCUGCCAGUUUUAUGUUUCGGUGCCGGUCCAGGAGCAGGUUCUCUGGCUUCAGGUCCCAGUGCACCACGCCCCGGGCUUAGCAGUGGCUGAGCGCAGCGAGGAUCUGCUGGAAGAUGCGGCGCACCUCCAUCUCCCUCAGGUGCCCACACCUGCACAGGUAGUCCUGCAGGUCGCCCCCCUGAGUGCGCUCCAGGACCAGCAGCACCUCAUCCUCAGUGUCCACCACCUGGAAGAGCUGGAGAAUGUUCGGGUGCCAAAGGACUUUCAUGAAGGCCACCUCGCAGACCAGGAACCUCUGAGGCAUGCCGGACUUGGGGAUGACCUUUAUGGCCACUUCCGUGCCCAUUGGCAGGUGCCGUGCCUGCUUGACCUUGGCGUGGGUGCCCUCCCGCAGCUUGCCGAGCAUCACAUACUGUCUCAGGGCCAUUCCCUGGGCAGACAUGCACAUCGAGGCAGUGAGGGCGGACCCGCUCCUACACUCGCAGGUCCUGGCUGUCUAGAGCCCUCGGCACUAGCUCCGCUACCCGAUUAACAAGUUCACUACUAGCCUAGAGCUAGUAGUAUGUGAAAAGGAUCCCCGAAACUAACUAAAUGCUCCCCGCGCUGACUCCUCUACCGAAACAGUAAGGACGCUAACUUACCUCUACCAGAAACACUAACUAUGCUAACCUAAGUAGGUUACUAAUACUAACUACGCACUCAAAAAGGAAAACACACAACCAAAAAAUUAACAAAGAUAAAUAUUUAAAAAUAUAAAAAAACAAUAACAAACUAACAACUCCAAAUAACAAGAACACAGACAAACGAACAAACAAUUACAAACUAACAAGUAAAAUAAAAAAAAAAAAACAGACAACAAAGGGGAAAUAAAAACACACGCAAAAAUAACAACACCAGGGAAAAUGGGGGGGGCAAUAAAAAAAUUUUAAAAAUAAAAACAAAUAAAAAAUUAAAAUAAUAAAAGGAAAAAAUAAGCAAAUAAUAAAACAAAGGAAAAUAAAAAAACAGAAUUAAAAAUAAAAUAGCUAAAAUAAAUAACUGAAUAAGAAAUAACCAAAGCAAAAGCAAUCCAAUCCACCAACAUGCCUCUCUCUCCCUUCGAGUCCACCGUCACGAUCCCAACACUCCUCGCUCUACCUACACCGCCGCCGGCUGCGCGGGGUCUUAAGUAGGCUCCGCGGGUGACAUCACAGAGCUCUCUGUGGCGUCAGAGCAGAGGCCACGCCCCAGGCAGAGGGCACCCCGGGGGCCAUUCAGCCUUCAAGGCACAGCAACCGCCAAGAGGUGUGUGGACAGACUCCCUGGAGACUGGACUCCACCCCGUUCCAGAAGCCCGCGGGGCGCUGGCGAGGCCGUGUCCUCUGUCGCGAGCACCUGUCCCAGGUUUUGGCUUUUAGGGUCUCUCCACACAAUCCCCCUCAAGCCCUGAAGCGUCUCACAUGACACGACACAUUCACAGGCACAAUAAACGACACCAUGUUGGGAGCAUGAGAUGCGACAGAGUCCGCUCUUCACACCCCGACACUGAAAACUCUCUGGGACAUGGUCCCCCCGUUUGGCCCACGAGCUGCGUGUGCCCCUCGGCGUCCUCGCAGGCCGGAGGCCGGGGCGGCUCCCAGGGCGGCAGAGGCUGU